rnacentral:rRNA from 1 species
GUGCCAGCCGCCGCGGUAAUACAGAGGGUGCAAGCGUUAAUCGGAAUUACUGGGCGUAAAGCGUGCGUAGUCGGUUAUCUAAGUCAGGUGUGAAAUCCCCGGGCUCAACCUGGGAAUUGCAUUUGAUACUGGAUAGCUAGAGUUCGGCAGAGGGAAGUGGAAUUUCUGGUGUAGCGGUGAAAUGCGUAGAUAUCAGAAGGAACAUCAGUGGCGAAAGCGACUUCCUGGACCAGAACUGACGAUCAGGCACGAAAGCGUGGGGAGCAAACAGGAUUAGAAACCCUCGUAGUCC